UACGUAGGCAGCAAGCGUUGUUCGGAGUUACUGGGCGUAAAGGGUGCGUAGGCGGUCCUAUAAGUAUGGUGUGAAAUCUCCCGGCUCAACCGGGAGGGUGCGCCGAAUACUGAGUGACUAGAGUGCGGGAGAGGAAAGUGGAAUUCCUGGUGUAGCGGUGAAAUGCGUAGAUAUCAGGAGGAACACCGGUGGUGUAGACGGCUUUCUGGACCGUAACUGACGCUGAGAACACGGAAAGCGUGGGUAGCAAACACG
rnacentral:rRNA from 1 species